ensembl:lncRNA
GCUGGACCUCUCACCCAUCCCCUGACUCUGGGAGGAAAAUGUUUAGCUGGGAAGGCAGGGUCACCACGCACUCCAGGGGCAUUACUCAGCCGGGAAACAGCCCCGCUUCCUGUUGGCAUAUUUUCCUUUGGUUUUAGUCUCAAGUCUUAUUCUGCGGGGGGAAGACCUCCUAGAAUUCUAUUUUCUUGGGGGAAUGGAAAGAAAAGCAGCCUGAUGAAUGUGGGCUCACUUAGAAACCUCAGAUCUCAGACCAAUAAGGGCUUCCAGAUGCCUCAGCAGAGGGCAGCAUGAACUUCUGUGACGCGGACUUUGUCAUUCGUUUCGUCUCCUUGCACAUGUACCAGGGGCACCGACUUCAUGCCAGCUCCAUGCUAUACAUGGAGUCAGAGAUGGAAAGGAGCGCCACAGCCCGAGAGACUCAGCCCAAGGAAAAGACGGACAGGAAAAUGAAUGAGAGCAAUUGGCUUCUGUGGAUGCUGAGAUGGAGGGACAUGUGAGGAUGCAUUAGCUCUCCCUUGGCUCCUGGCUCUUGUGGACGCUCAGCCAAACAGGAGACUCCCCUCCACCUCCCCAGGCUGCUCCUACUUCUGGUUCGGCCUGAAACCCAGAAACCCCAGCAAGUGGCUCUGCUCCCCUAUGGCCACCGGAGCUCGGUAAGUGCCCAGUGAACGCUCACACAGAGAACCUUCCUGAAGCACACCUUGAGCCCGAUAGCUUUUAAACCACUUGGCAUCUUACAAAGCGCAAGAGACUCAUAUUAUUUGUCUCCUAAGUCUUGAGAUGAGUCAUCUUUUUUAAAGAUGAUUUUUCUGAUUAUAAACAGAACAUACAAAAGAAGGAAACACAGCAACAUACAAAAAGAAGGAAGAUUACCCACAAGCCCGCUGCCCAGAAG